rnacentral:tRNA from 1 species
GGGCGCGUAGCUCAGGGGUCAGAGCGCUUCCUUGACACGGAAGAGGUCCGAGGUUCAAGUCCUCGCGCGCCCACCA